GAUUGAACGCUGGCGGCAUGCCUUACACAUGCAAGUCGAACGGUAACAGGCCGCAAGGUGCUGACGAGUGGCGAACGGGUGAGUAAUGCAUCGGAACGUGCCCAAUCGUGGGGGAUAACGCAGCGAAAGCUGCGCUAAUACCGCAUACGAUCUAAGGAUGAAAGCGGGGGACCGUAAGGCCUCGCGCGAUUGGAGCGGCCGAUGUCAGAUUAGGUAGUUGGUGGGGUAAAGGCUCACCAAGCCGACGAUCUGUAGCUGGUCUGAGAGGACGACCAGCCACACUGGGACUGAGACACGGCCCAGACUCCUACGGGAGGCAGCAGUGGGGAAUUUUGGACAAUGGGCGCAAGCCUGAUCCAGCAAUGCCGCGUGCAGGAAGAAGGCCUUCGGGUUGUAAACUGCUUUGUACGGAACGAAACGGCUCUGGUUAAUACCUGGGGCUAAUGACGGUACCGUAAGAAUAAGCACCGGCUAACUACGUGCCAGCAGCCG
rnacentral:rRNA from 1 species